rnacentral:rRNA from 1 species
GGUUAAGCGACUAAGCGUACACGGUGGAUGCCCUGGCAGUCAGAGGCGAUGAAGGACGUGCUAAUCUGCGAAAAGCGUCGGUAAGGUGAUAUGAACCGUUACAGCCGGCGAUGUCCGAAUGGGGAAACCCAGUGCAAUUCGUUGCACUAUCGUUAACUGAAUACAUAGGUUAACGAGGCGAACCGGGGGAACUGAAACAUCUAAGUACCCCGAGGAAAAGAAAUCAACCGAGAUUCCCCCAGUAGCGGCGAGCGAACGGGGAGCAGCCCAGAGUCUGAAUCAGCUUGUGUGUUAGUGGAACGGUCUGGAAAGUCCGACGGUACAGGGUGAUAGUCCCGUACACCAAAAUGCACAGGCUGUGAACUCGAAGAGUAGGGCGGGACACGUGGUAUCCUGUCUGAAUAUGGGGGGACCAUCCUCCAAGGCUAAAUACUCCUGACUGACCGAUAGUGAACCAGUACCGUGAGGGAAAGGCGAAAAGAACCCCGGCGAGGGGAGUGAAAAAGAACCUGAAACCGUGUACGUACAAGCAGUGGGAGCACCUUCGGGUGUGACUGCGUACCUUUUGUAUAAUGGGUCAGCGACUUAUAUUCUGUAGCAAGGUUAACCGUAUAGGGGAGCCGCAGGGAAACCGAGUCUUAACUGGGCGUUAAGUUGCAGGGUAUAGACCCGAAACCCGGUGAUCUAGCCAUGGGCAGGUUGAAGGUUGGGUAACACUAACUGGAGGACCGAACCGACUAAUGUUGAAAAAUUAGCGGAUGACUUGUGGCUGGGGGUGAAAGGCCAAUCAAACCGGGAGAUAGCUGGUUCUCCCCGAAAGCUAUUUAGGUAGCGCCUCGUGAACUCAUCUUCGGGGGUAGAGCACUGUUUCGGCUAGGGGGUCAUCCCGACUUACCAACCCGAUGCAAACUACGAAUACCGAAGAAUGUUAUCACGGGAGACACACGGCGGGUGCUAACGUCCGUCGUGAAGAGGGAAACAACCCAGACCGCCAGCUAAGGUCCCAAAGUCAUGGUUAAGUGGGAAACGAUGUGGGAAGGCACAGACAGCCAGGAUGUUGGCUUAGAAGCAGCCAUCAUUUAAAGAAAGCGUAAUAGCUCACUGGUCGAGUCGGCCUGCGCGGAAGAUGUAACGGGGCUAAACCAUGCACCGAAGCUGCGGCAGCGACACUAUGUGUUGUUGGGUAGGGGAGCGUUCUGUAAGCCUGCGAAGGUGUGCUGUGAGGCAUGCUGGAGGUAUCAGAAGUGCGAAUGCUGACAUAAGUAACGAUAAAGCGGGUGAAAAGCCCGCUCGCCGGAAGACCAAGGGUUCCUGUCCAACGUUAAUCGGGGCAGGGUGAGUCGACCCCUAAGGCGAGGCCGAAAGGCGUAGUCGAUGGGAAACAGGUUAAUAUUCCUGUACUUGGUGUUACUGCGAAGGGGGGACGGAGAAGGCUAUGUUAGCCGGGCGACGGUUGUCCCGGUUUAAGCAUGUAGGCUGGUUAUCCAGGCAAAUCCGGAUAAUCAAGGCUGAGGUGUGAUGACGAGGCACUACGGUGCUGAAGUAACAAAUGCCCUGCUUCCAGGAAAAGCCUCUAAGCAUCAGGUAACAUCAAAUCGUACCCCAAACCGACACAGGUGGUCAGGUAGAGAAUACCAAGGCGCUUGAGAGAACUCGGGUGAAGGAACUAGGCAAAAUGGUGCCGUAACUUCGGGAGAAGGCACGCUGGUGUGUAGGUGAAGUCCCUGCGGAUGGAGCUGAGACCAGUCGAAGAUACCAGCUGGCUGCAACUGUUUAUUAAAAACACAGCACUGUGCAAACACGAAAGUGGACGUAUACGGUGUGACGCCUGCCCGGUGCCGGAAGGUUAAUUGAUGGGGUUAUCCGUAAGGAGAAGCUCUUGAUCGAAGCCCCGGUAAACGGCGGCCGUAACUAUAACGGUCCUAAGGUAGCGAAAUUCCUUGUCGGGUAAGUUCCGACCUGCACGAAUGGCGUAAUGAUGGCCAGGCUGUCUCCACCCGAGACUCAGUGAAAUUGAACUCGCUGUGAAGAUGCAGUGUACCCGCGGCAAGACGGAAAGACCCCGUGAACCUUUACUAUAGCUUGACACUGAACAUUGAGCCUUGAUGUGUAGGAUAGGUGGGAGGCUUUGAAGCGUGGACGCCAGUCUGCGUGGAGCCAACCUUGAAAUACCACCCUUUAAUGUUUGAUGUUCUAACGUUGGCCCCUGACCGGGGUUGCGGACAGUGUCUGGUGGGUAGUUUGACUGGGGCGGUCUCCUCCCAAAGCGUAACGGAGGAGCACGAAGGUUAGCUAAUCCUGGUCGGACAUCAGGAGGUUAGUGCAAUGGCAUAAGCUAGCUUGACUGCGAGCGUGACGGCGCGAGCAGGUGCGAAAGCAGGUCAUAGUGAUCCGGUGGUUCUGAAUGGAAGGGCCAUCGCUCAACGGAUAAAAGGUACUCCGGGGAUAACAGGCUGAUACCGCCCAAGAGUUCAUAUCGACGGCGGUGUUUGGCACCUCGAUGUCGGCUCAUCACAUCCUGGGGCUGAAGUAGGUCCCAAGGGUAUGGCUGUUCGCCAUUUAAAGUGGUACGCGAGCUGGGUUUAGAACGUCGUGAGACAGUUCGGUCCCUAUCUGCCGUGGGCGCUGGAGAAUUGAGGGGGGCUGCUCCUAGUACGAGAGGACCGGAGUGGACGCAUCACUGGUGUUCGGGUUGUCAUGCCAAUGGCACUGCCCGGUAGCUAAAUGCGGAAGAGAUAAGUGCUGAAAGCAUCUAAGCACGAAACUUGCCCCGAGAUGAGUUCUCCCUGAGACUAUAAGUCUCCUGAAGGAACGUUGAAGACGACGACGUUGAUAGGCCGGGUGUGUAAGCGCAGCGAUGCGUUGAGCUAACCGGUACUAAUGAACCGUGAGGCUUAACCUU